rnacentral:rRNA from 1 species
AUGACUUGUUUCAUUCAUGACAGAUCCAUUUUCUGCCACCGAAUACAUUAGCAUGGGAUAAUGGAAUAGGACCCUGUCCUCCUAUUUUCAGUUGGUUUUGGCAGCGCGAGGACUAGGGUAAUGAUUAAUAGGGAUAGUUGGGGGCAUUAAUAUUUAAUUGUCAGAGGUGAAAUUCUUGGAUUUAUGAAAGAUUAACUUCUGCGAAAGCAUCUGCCAAGGAUGUUUUCAUUAAUCAAGAACGAAAGUUAGGGGAUCGAAGACGAUCAGAUACCGUCGUAGUCUUAACCAUAAACGAUGCCGACCAGCGAUUAGGAGACGUUGAAUACAAAACACCACCAUCGGUUGCGGUCGUCCUUGGCGUCUCGGUUUCGGCCGGGGCGCGGGGACGGUUUAGCCCGGUGGCACCGGUGAAUGACUCCCUAGCACUUUUGUGAGAA